UACGCCUUUUCCCGUACGAUCGUCGAAGUUAAGCAAUGCCGAGCCUGGUCAGUAUCUACACGGGUGACCACUUGGGAAUAUCAGGUGCUGUAAG